rnacentral:lncRNA from 1 species
GUACAUUCUUCUUGUGUUGGUUAGAUUGUUUAGUAAAAGUGGUCACCUCAUCAACCAACAAUGAUUCAUCUGACCCCUCCAAAUGGAUAUUUGAUUAGUUUCUUCUCUAGGAAGGGAGAAAAAAUUGUCUUGGAGGGAGGGGGAAAGAGAGAGCAACACGCACAGUCGCACACUAGAUCAUUUUUGCGAAAAAAGUCGUUCCACAAGUGAUAGUGGUUCCCGAUAAAAAAAACAAGUGGUCGUGGUUGCAAUCUUUACAUGGCUUGUGAUAAAAAAAACAAUAAAUUAUGAUCAAGAGCAGGAGUUAUCUAGAA